rnacentral:rRNA from 1 species
UACGUAGGGUGCGAGCGUUGUCCGGAAUUAUUGGGCGUAAAGAGCUUGUAGGUGGUUUGUCGCGUCUGCUGUGAAAAUCCGAGGCUUACUACCGCGACUUGCAGUGGGUACGGGCAGACUAGAGUGUGGUAGGGGAGACUGGAAUUCCUGGUGUAGCGGUGGAAUGCGCAGAUAUCAGGAGGAACACCGAUGGCGAAGGCAGGUCUCUGGGCCGAUUACUGACACUGGAGAAGCGAAAGCAUGGGGAGCGAACAGGG